GCUGGGCGUGGUGGUGCAUGCCUGUAGUCCCAGCUUCUCAGGAAGCUGAGGUGGGAGGAUCACUUGAGCCUGGGAAGUUGAGGCUGCAGUGAGCUGUGAUAGCACCACUGCACUCCAGCCUGGGCAACAAAGCAAGACUCUGUCUCCA
rnacentral:SRP_RNA from 1 species